rnacentral:lncRNA from 1 species
UGGAUUUAGUUUUUAGAGACAGUUUCUAUCAUUUGCAUGGUGAUGCAUGUGUGAACUUAAUUGAGCAAUCAGUGAAUGCCAUUAGAUUUGAGAGAUCCAAAAUUGAGAUAAAUUUAAAGCAUAUAUGGAACCUAUGGCUAAGUCAUAUUGGAGAAGAAAUGAUUAACAAACUAGAGAAAUAUAGAUUUUUGGGCUCAUUGACUGUUGAGUCAAAUCUAGUUUGUAUAUCAUCUCUUUGAGAAAAUAUGACC